rnacentral:lncRNA from 1 species
UGGGAGAGACAAUGGGUAGUAACAUUUUUAGUUAGAACAUAAUGGUUAUAUUUAAUUAUAAUUUUCAUUAUGCUAGUAGUGAUUAUAAUUUACUGAUUAAUGUUCUUAUUCAACCUGUUUCUCUGUCUGAUGUUUGCUGUAGAAUCCCUAUGCUUAAUUUUUUUAUUGGCAAAAUGAGGACUCUUGGAUCUCUUGAUUGAAUUAUUAAAUUGAAACAGAUUAGUAAAUAGGAGAUAGGAACAUUGCCUCUACUUUAGCCUGACUCAAAAUCAACUAAAUUUUUCAGAACCAUUCUGUGUUGGCUGCUCUGUCUUGGUGUUGCUGGUUUAUCUUCUCUAGGUGCCUGGGCUUCAAAUCAGUUACUGUUAUUUUCCUCACUCAACCCUGCUCAGCUUUGGUCAUGAAAUACCAAGUAAGGUUUCAUCAGUGUCCCUUCUAUUUUCUGAGCUAGACAUUUAGCGGAAAGUUAUAUGAAGGGGUGAUUAGUAAGCAUUAAUAUUUUUCAAAUUAUUAGAUCUAUAUUAAAUGUUUGUGAUAUGUGUGCUUUGAAGCUACUAGUUCUGAACCUGUGGGUCACAACCCCUUAAAGGGUCCCAUAUCUGCUAAUCUGAAUAUCAGAUGUUUGCAUCACAGUCAAGGACAGUAGCAGAAUUACAGCUGUGAAGUAGCAACAAAAUAGUUUUAUGGUUGGGGUCAUUACAAUAUGAGGAACUGUUAAAGGGUUGCAACAUUAAGAAGGUUAAGACCCAUACAGAAAAUGUGGUACAUUUACACAGUGGAGUACUACUUAGCUAUU